rnacentral:lncRNA from 1 species
AUGAGUGCUGGCUGCAUGGCCUCUGGAGAAAUCUCUGCAUCUGACUUCAGCAGGGUGACCUCCAUCAUUUCUUCCCACGAUGCUGUGAACUCUACCGUGAUCGAUAUCUUAGCAGAGAUGGACUGUAGUACAAAGUCUGGCCAUAGGGUAGUUCUGGAAACUUCAAAUGGACAUGGGCCUUGUGUGUGUGCACUCUGUGUGCACAUAUUCAACAUUCUGGUCAGAAUUUGGCCUGGUUUCAUGGGAAAUCAUUAGCUUCCCAAUUCCCCUUUGGGAUUUACGCAGGAAGAGAGAGCUGUCACAUACCAUCCCCUCACACGUCAUGUGGAGAAAAACAGCAGGGGCACCACAGACCACCACCACGCUGCUCCCUCACGCUUCACUGGCUUUAUCUGGUUGUUUCUAGGUUUUUCAUUGCUUAUUUAUUUAUUUAUUUAUUAAUUUGUUUGUUGUAUGUGUUAAUCAGAAUGAGCUCCUGACUGCUUGAUUUAGUGGUGAACACACUGCUGACUAAUACUGUAAUUAAUCAUGUGGCUGUUGUGUUUCGGCACAAAGAGCCCACUGAUUCAGAGCACUUAUAUUGAGUGCUUUUAUAACCAGUGCUGUUAUUGCACAUGAGUGACAAAUGCACUAAUGUCAGUCUGUGUGAUUACCGGUCAUUGUCCUUGAUUUUAACUCUUCGUGAUCAGGUGAAAAAAAAAAAACAAGCGAGGAAAACAAUAAUGGGGCUGCUGACAUGAAAAUAAUAGAUAUUGCGUGGUAUUUUUGACACAUUUUUAAUUAGACAUUUUUAGCACAUGUUUAAUCACAAUCUAAUGCCAAUAUUUAAAAUAAAUACAGACACUUUACGGACA